UCCACUUUAAUUUGAUGGGUAAUAAGCAUUAAAUAUAUUUGAAUAUGGACUUUAAAGAAAAAUUGUUCCAGUUUAAAGUUUUAAAUAAUAUACGAAAUUAUAAUUUAGUUAAUUUUUUAAUUUAGGUUCAUUAGGUGCCAGCAACCGCGGUCAAACCUAAUAGAUAAGCUUACACAUAUAUUAAGUUUAUUAAAGAUGCUUUAAAAGUAAUAACAAUAAGUAGUGAAAUACUAUUGGGAGCUAUAACCUGCUAAAGCAAAAUUUAUAACAAAUCCUCAAUUAAAACUAGGAUUAGAGACCCUACUAUUAUGGACUCAUUAUCUACUUACUAAGAAGUAAAACUACAUAGUUUAAACUUAAAACUUAUGGCGGCUAAAUAAAACCUUUAGGGGAACUUACCAUAUAAUUGAUAAUCACCAAGCACAAUCAUACUUACUAUAAAAACUUGUAUACCGUUGUCUUCAUGAACCCCUAUAGGGGGUUCAUAAAAUAUUUCAUAUAUAAAGAUAAAUCAAGGUGCAGUCUAUUAAUAAGAAUUGAGGCGAGUUACAGUAAAAAAUCUAUUCAGAUUUAACAAUGAAAGAAUAUAUGAAGAUGGACUUAAUAGUUAAAAUUAAAUUAACACUAUUAUAAUUUGAAUGUGUAUUGUUUAGUGUA
rnacentral:rRNA from 1 species